CUGUGGUUAAAUUGGGAAAGGCACUCCUCUGUCCUGGGACGCGAUGGUCAUGACUGAAACAUCCUCACCUCGGACCACAGCUGCCUAUCAGCCCUGGAGGAGGGUGGUACUGGCUCCCUAGGAUUCUCUUGAGCUGCGUCACCCUCUUGGCCUCACCCGUCCUUGCAUUUCUGGGACUUCAGCUGCUUUUCCCAGAGGGCUCAGCUUCUUUCUCAGCUGGGGAGAAAAGACACUUUUUACAGAGCUGGGAGCUCAUAAACGUCUCAAAAGAAAGAUGCUGGAUAAUUGGAAAUAAGAAUUUGAGUUUCCUGGUUUUCUGUGUGUGUACAACCCAUAGGAAAUUCUUCCCAGUAAAUUCCUGUAGCCUUCAGACAUUUUCAAGAGGCAAAGGACCAGUGGAUUGGAUUGGUGACUGCAGCUUUGUCAGCAGCCAUGACUCCAUGUCCCAGGAUGCAGGGCAACCCAUCUGGGGAAGAGCCGAGGAGGCAGAGGAUGCCCUUCUAUGCAAACUACGGUGGCAGGACCAGCCUUCCACCUCCCUGGAGGUGAUCUGUGCUCUGGAUGUGCUGACUUGGAGAAGCAGGAACCUUUUUCUACAAGAGGCAGUUACCUACAUCCUGAAUUAA
rnacentral:lncRNA from 1 species